AGCGAACGCUAGCGGCGGGCCUAACACAUGCAAGUCGAGCGGAGGGGCAACCCUCAGCGGCGAACGGGUGAGUAACACGUAGGUAAUGUACCCUCUGGUGGGGAAUAACCGUGGGAAACCAUGGCUAAUACCGCAUAUGUCUUUCGAGAUGAAAGCAGCAAUGCGCCAGAGGAGCAGCCUGCGGCCGAUUAUUUAGUCCUAGUUGGUGAGGUAAUGGCUCACCAAGGGUACGAUCGGUAGCUGGUCUGAGAGGAUGAUCAGCCACACUGGAACUGAGACACGGUCCAGACUCCUACGGGAGGCAGCAGUGGGGAAUAUUGCGCAAUGGGGCGAAAGCCUGACGCAGCCACGCCGCGUGAGUGAUGAAGGCC
rnacentral:rRNA from 1 species